rnacentral:rRNA from 1 species
CUACUGGGGUAUCUAAUCCUGUUCGCUACCCAUGCUUUCGAGCCUCAGCGUCAGUUGCAGACCAGACAGCCGCCUUCGCCACUGGUGUUCUUCCAUAUAUCUACGCAUUCCACCGCUACACAUGGAGUUCCACUGUCCUCUUCUGCACUCAAGUCUGACAGUUUCCGAUGCACUUCUUUGGUUAAGCCAAAGGCUUUCACAUCAGACUUAUCAAACCGCCUGCGCUCGCUUUACGCCCAAUAAAUCCGGAUAACGCUUGCCACCUACGUAUUACCGCGGCUGCUGGCAC